GAACGAACGCUGGCGGCAUGCCUAACACAUGCAAGUCGAACGAUGCUUUCGGGCAUAGUGGCGCACGGGUKCGUAACGCGUGGGAAUCUGCCCUUGGGUUCGGAAUAACAGUGAGAAAUUGCUGCUAAUACCGGAUGAUGUCUUCGGACCAAAGAUUUAUCGCCCAGGGAUGAGCCCGCGUAGGAUUAGCUAGUUGGUGGGGUAAUGGCCUACCAAGGCGACAAUCCUUAGCUGGUCUGAGAGGAUGAUCAGCCACACUGGGACUGAGACACGGCCCAGACUCCUACGGGAGGCAGCAGUGGGGAAUAUUGGACAAUGGGCGCAAGCCUGAUCCAGCAAUGCCGCGUGAGUGAUGAAGGCCUUAGGGUUGUAAAGCUCUUUUACCCGGGAUGAUAAUGACAGUACCGGGAGAAUAAGCUCCGGCUAACUCCGUGCCAGCAGCCGCGGUAAUACGGAGGGAGCUAGCGUUGUUCGGAAUUACUGGGCGUAAAGCGCGCGUAGGCGGCUGCUCAAGUCAGAGGUGAAAGCCCGGGGCUCAACCCGGAACUGCCUUUGUAACUAGGUAGCUAGAAUCUUGGAGAGGUCAGUGGAAUUCCGAGUGUAGAGGUGAAAUUCGUAGAUAUUCGGAAGAAAACCAGUGGCGAAGGCGACUGACUGGACAAGUAUUGACGCUGAGGUGCGAAAGCGUGGGG
rnacentral:rRNA from 1 species